rnacentral:rRNA from 1 species
GACGAACGCUGGCGGCGUGCUUAACACAUGCAAGUCGAACGGAAAGGCCCCUUUGGGGGUGCUCGCGUGGCGAACGGGUGCGUAACACGUGAGUAACCUGCCCUCGUCUUCUUGAUAACUCCAGGAAACUGGGGCUAAUACCGGAUAUGAAUCCUUGCUCCAUGGGGGGGGUUGGAAAGCUUGUGGGGUGUUGGAUGGGCUCGCGGCUUAUCUGCUUGUUUGUGGGGUAGUGGCUUACCAAGGCUGUGACGGGUAGCUGGACAGGGAGGGGGACCGGCCACAUUGGGACUGAGAUACGGCCCAGACUCCUACGGGAGGAAGAAGGGGGGAAUAUUGCACAAUGGGCGGAAGCCUGAUGCAGCAACGCCGCGUGCGGGAUGACGGCCUUCGGGUUGGAAACCGCUUUCAGCAGGGGCGAAGCUUGUGGUGACGGUACCUGCAGAAGAAGCACCGGCUAACUACGUG